rnacentral:rRNA from 1 species
AUUGAACGCUGGCGGCAGGCUUAACACAUGCAAGUCGAGCGGGGGAAGGUAGCUUGCUACUGGACCUAGCGGCGGACGGGUGAGUAAUGCUUAGGAAUCUGCCUAUUAGUGGGGGACAACAUCUCGAAAGGGAUGCUAAUACCGCAUACGUCCUACGGGAGAAAGCAGGGGAUCACUUGUGACCUUGCGCUAAUAGAUGAGCCUAAGUCGGAUUAGCUAGUUGGUGGGGUAAAGGCCUACCAAGGCGACGAUCUGUAGCGGGUCUGAGAGGAUGAUCCGCCACACUGGGACUGAGACACGGCCCAGACUCCUACGGGAGGCAGCAGUGGGGAAUAUUGGACAAUGGGGGGAACCCUGAUCCAGCCAUGCCGCGUGUGUGAAGAAGGCCUUAUGGUUGUAAAGCACUUUAAGCGAGGAGGAGGCUUACCUAGUUAAUACCUGGGAUAAGUGGACGUUACUCGCAGAAUAAGCACCGGCUAACUCUGUGCCAGCCGCCGCAGUAA